rnacentral:rRNA from 1 species
UACGAAGGGGGCUAGCGUUGUUCGGAAUCACUGGGCGUAAAGGGCGCGUAGGCGGCUUUAUAAGUCGGGGGUGAAAGCCUGUGGCUCAACCACAGAAUUGCCUUCGAUACUGUAGAGCUUGAGUCCGGAAGAGGUUAGUGGAACUGCGAGUGUAGAGGUGAAAUUCGUAGAUAUUCGCAAGAACAUCAGUGGCGAAGGCGGCUGACUGGUCCGGAUCUGACGCUGAGGCGCGAAAGCGUGGGGAGCAAACAGG